GACGAACGCUGGCGGCGUGCUUAACACAUGCAAGUCGAACGGAAAGGCCCUGCUUUUGUGGGGUGCUCGAGUGGCGAACGGGUGAGUAACACGUGAGUAACCUGCCCUUGACUUUGGGAUAACUUCAGGAAACUGGGGCUAAUACCGGAUAGGAGCUCCUGCUGCAUGGUGGGGGUUGGAAAGUUUCGGCGGUUGUGGAUGGACUCGCGGCUUAUCAGCUUGUUUGUGGGGUAGUGGCUUACCAAGGCUUUGACGGGUAGCCGGCCUGAGAGGUUGACCGGCGACAUUGGGACUGAGAUACGGCCCAGACUCCUACGGGAGGCAGCAGUGGGGAAUAUUGCACAAUGGGCGGAAGCCUGAUGCAGCAACGCCGCGUGCGGGAUGACGGCCUUCGGGUUGUAAACCGCUUUCGCCUGUGACGAAGCGUGAGUGACGGUAAUGGGUAAAGAAGCACCGGCUAACUACGUG
rnacentral:rRNA from 1 species